UUUUUGGAAGCAGAGCCACAGCCAAGCCUCAGACAGAGGUUUCCCUCGGGUAGCAGCCCUUCUCCGGCCUCUGAGGUGUGUCUGCGGAGGAGAAAAACCCAAAAACAAACCCGCAACCAAAAGGCGGGAAGGCUGCGGCGGGAGCCGAGCCACUUCCUCAGUGAAUAAAUCGCGAUUAUUUACCGUGCCGCACCCCUGUAGGCCCUCCCGCCACAGACCUCCCCCCCGCGGCACACCGCCGGUGCGGGCCCGGUGUGAGCGGGACGGCAGCGGCCGUUUUGAGCCCGCACCGCCUUUGUGAGAGCCGCCGGGCCCCGCACCCCGCCAGGCCCCGCCGCGGCGCCCGCACCUCCCGGGCCCAGCGGCACCGAGGGCCGGGGCCGCCUCCCCGGGCCUGCACGGGGGGAGCGCGGCGCACCGCGGGCCUCCCCAGCUGUAAGACCGGGGGAGAGGGGGGGAAGGCAGGCCGCGCAGCCCACCGCGACAGCACGCCCUGUACGCCCGGAGCGUCGCGACUCGUCACGACAGCCCCCGCGCGCCUCCCCAGGCCUGUCGGGGAGGAGGCGCGGCGCUGAGGUGAGACCCGAAGGUACUGGUGGCAUUCACUGAGGAGGAGACGUGCUGCAAAGAUCUUCUGGGACCACGGGCCACAUCCUGAGGAGCUACAACAGCCUGCAAACCUGUGCUGAUCUAGAAGCCAACUGAAAAGCAACCACAGCUCAGUACCAUUACCAGCAGCAAGUGGCACAGAGCAAACAGCAGGAGGGGAGCAGAGUUUUGGUCCAAGACUGGUGUCAGAUACGCUCCUUGCGGUGAUGUUUGUGGGAAGCUGAACCUCAAGGUAACACAACCACAGCUGGAGACCUCAAGAUCUCAUGCAUAAACUGCUCGCAGUGCUCCACAUGCAGCUUAACUGAUCUAGCUUCAGAAAAGACACAGCUUGCCUAGUGUAAAACCACCUUUUCAGAACCUUUGGGUAAUUCUGAAAAAAAACCACCAUCCCCAACAAAAAACCAAACCAAACACCCACCAACUUAAAACCUCUGUGAACUCCCUUCCUGGCAUUUGUAGGACACUAACAGGGCAAGUCCUCACACCCUUGAAACAUUUAAUGUUAAAGGCUUAAACAAGGAGGAGAGACUUUCUCAUCUCUCCUCUACCACACACUCACCAUUCCCAUUCCCUCCAGCCAGUAGUUUUCCAACUCUUUCAGCCAAAAGAUUCAAGCUCCCCAAACAAAUUUUUCUGCCCUGACACACUCUAAUUCACAUGGCUGUUCAAAGGCUCUGCAGCAACUUCUUCCUUUCCGAUUCAAGGCAAUCAAUAAAUAAAUCACAGUCCUUGCGCCACAUGGCUCUGCUGCCGCAACACUCAUGUUCCCAGCCAGGGCCUGACACUGCCCAUCCUCAGAAGAAAUUCAUCAGGUGCACACACUGACUUGGCAAAUAUUUGGCCUCAUUUACAUACAAACUCACGUCUGUUUAAUUCAACUAUGUAACUGCUACAAACCAUCAUGUACCCACUCAUGUUCCCGCUCAGAAAUUACUUUUGCAAGAAGAGAACCAACACAACCUUCUGCAGAAGUUUAACGCGCAGACCUUGAGACUCACUGCGUGGGUUUUUCCAUGCAGAUGAGCCUUUCUGAGAUCUCGAGAGUGCCUGUCACCGAAACUGCUGGGCCCAACUGCAAGGCCAGGAGGGGAAGAGGACGAGGAGUUGCUGGAUGUCAUACAGAUACAUACAUAUGCAUAUAGUAAGGGGGUUUGUCCUUCCUGCUGCAUAGCGGCUUACAGGAGCAACCAAGAGAAGACUCAGUCUCUGGCCAAGGAUAUGGGGACUUGCACUGCUCUAACAGCUGGAAUCUGGACAAGCAGGAACCACUGUACGCUGUUUUCUCUCAUCUGUUACGUACAAAGUUUUGGACUUUUCCUGUGAGCCACUGGAUUGCAUCACAAUGAAAUUCACCACCAGACAUGGGCACAGGGAGAUCAUGAUCGGAGUGGUCAGCAGUGCCACGGUAAGACAUGAUUCAACAGCAGCAAGACAAGACUAACUAUUCGAAACUCGGUAUCAAAAGCAUCACUUCAUCUGUUCGUUCGCUGGCGGCUCUUCAUGGUUGUCCCCGUUUUAACCACUCUCCUCUAAGCCCCAGCAAGGACCGAGCAGUGCCAGAGACCUCCCUGGGAACACGGAUCGUUUUAUGACUGGACACCAGUUAAAAUCCAGGCUGGGAACACAAACCCCAGAGAGCUGAUGUGAACAGCAGCUGAAACUCGGACCUCUUGAGGAAGGUUUAACCCGUCUGAUACACAUCUGGCGUGUAUUCUCCUUCUCAGCCCCUUGAGGACACAUUUGCUCCUUGGAGUUGAGCUGUCCUGAGAAACGGCAUCGUAUGGGUGAAGCCUGUUGUGGGAGAACGGCUGCAGUUCUGUGGAUGCACAGGCCCUCAGGCCACGCAGCCUCCAGGCAUUAAUGUCACGUACAGACUUUUGACUAUUUCCUCCUCUUUUACUCUCGUUCAGUGAUGUGCCAAAAGACUAACAUUGGCAAACGCAUCACAAACCAGACCUCUAAACACUUCAACAGACACCUACAUAUCUGCUUAGAAAUCAAUACAAAAAACACAAAAAUAUUUACAUUCACUAACGUGAAAUACUUUAAAUAUAUUACAAUAAUUAUAUUACUCAUAAAUACACCCAGGUGAAAAUACUCCUUCCAAACAGAUGCAUGGAGAAGGCAGGAUACCAAAGCAAGGUGGGAAAUAAUUCCUCUCCAACACAGUGUUCAAUGAAUGCUGAAAAAAAGUAUUCAUUUCUAUGUGCAGAAU